UUUGGUUAAGUUAGAAAGGGCGCACGGUGGAUGCCUUGACACUAGGAGUCGAUGAAGGACGGGACUAACGCCGAUAUGCUUCGGGGAGCUGUAAGUAAGCUUUGAUCCGAAGAUUUCCGAAUGGGGAAACCCACUAUACGUAAUGGUAUGGUAUCCUUACCUGAAUACAUAGGGUAUGGAAGACAGACCCAGGGAACUGAAACAUCUAAGUACCUGGAGGAAGAGAAAGCAAAUGCGAUUUCCUGAGUAGCGGCGAGCGAAACGGAAUCUAGCCCAAACCAAGAGGCUUGCCUCUUGGGGUUGUAGGACAUUCUAUACGGAGUUACAAAGGAACGAGGUAGACGAAGCGACCUGGAAAGGUCCGUCACAGAGGGUAAUAACCCCGUAGUCGAAACUUCGUUCUCUCUUGAAUGUAUCCUGAGUACGGCGGAACACGUGAAAUUCCGUCGGAAUCUGGGAGGACCAUCUCCCAAGGCUAAAUACUCCCUAGUGAUCGAUAGUGAACCAGUACCGUGAGGGAAAGGUGAAAAGCACCCCGGAAGGGGAGUGAAAGAGAUCCUGAAACCGUGUGCCUACAAAUAGUCAGAGCCCGUUAAUGGGUGAUGGCGUGCCUUUUGUAGAAUGAACCGGCGAGUUACGAUCCCGUGCGAGGUUAAGCUGAAGAGGCGGAGCCGCAGCGAAAGCGAGUCUGAAUAGGGCGUUUAGUACGUGGUCGUAGACCCGAAACCAGGUGAUCUACCCAUGUCCAGGGUGAAGUUCAGGUAACACUGAAUGGAGGCCCGAACCCACGCACGUUGAAAAGUGCGGGGAUGAGGUGUGGGUAGCGGAGAAAUUCCAAUCGAACCUGGAGAUAGCUGGUUCUCCCCGAAAUAGCUUUAGGGCUAGCCUUAAGUGUAAGAGUCUUGGAGGUAGAGCACUGAUUGAACUAGGGGUCCUCAUCGGAUUACCGAAUUCAGUCAAACUCCGAAUGCCAAUGACUUAUCCUUAGGAGUCAGACUGCGAGUGAUAAGAUCCGUAGUCAAGAGGGAAACAGCCCAGAUCGCCAGCUAAGGUCCCAAAGUGUGUAUUAAGUGGAAAAGGAUGUGGAGUUGCUUAGACAACUAGGAUGUUGGCUCAGAAGCAGCCACCAUUUAAAGAGUGCGUAAUAGCUCACUAGUCGAGUGACUCUGCGCCGAAAAUGUACCGGGGCUAAAUACACCACCGAAGCUGCGAAUUGAUACCAAUGGUAUCAGUGGUAGGGGAGCGUUCUAAGUGCAGUGAAGUCAGACCGGAAGGACUGGUGGAGCGCUUAGAAGUGAGAAUGCCGGUAUGAGUAGCGAAAGACGGGUGAGAAUCCCGUCCACCGAAUGCCUAAGGUUUCCUGAGGAAGGCUCGUCCGCUCAGGGUUAGUCAGGACCUAAGCCGAGGCCGACAGGCGUAGGCGAUGGACAACAGGUUGAUAUUCCUGUACCACCUCUUUAUCGUUUGAGCAAUGGAGGGACGCAGAAGGAUAGAAGAAGCGUGCGAUUGGUUGUGCACGUCCAAGCAGUUAGGCUGAUAAGUAGGCAAAUCCGCUUAUCGUGAAGGCUGAGCUGUGAUGGGGAAGCUCCUUAUGGAGCGAAGUCUUUGAUUCCCCGCUGCCAAGAAAAGCUUCUAGCGAGAUAAAAGGUGCCUGUACCGCAAACCGACACAGGUAGGCGAGGAGAGAAUCCUAAGGUGUGCGAGAGAACUCUGGUUAAGGAACUCGGCAAAAUGACCCCGUAACUUCGGGAGAAGGGGUGCUUUCUUAACGGAAAGCCGCAGUGAAUAGGCCCAAGCGACUGUUUAGCAAAAACACAGGUCUCUGCGAAGCCGUAAGGCGAAGUAUAGGGGCUGACACCUGCCCGGUGCUGGAAGGUUAAGGAGAGGGGUUAGCGUAAGCGAAGCUCUGAACUGAAGCCCCAGUAAACGGCGGCCGUAACUAUAACGGUCCUAAGGUAGCGAAAUUCCUUGUCGGGUAAGUUCCGACCCGCACGAAAGGUGUAACGAUUUGGGCACUGUCUCAACCAGAGACUCGGUGAAAUUAUAGUACCUGUGAAGAUGCAGGUUACCCGCGACAGGACGGAAAGACCCCGUGGAGCUUUACUGUAGCCUGAUAUUGAAUUUUGGUACAGUUUGUACAGGAUAGGCGGGAGCCAUUGAAACCGGAGCGCUAGCUUCGGUGGAGGCGCUGGUGGGAUACCGCCCUGACUGUAUUGAAAUUCUAACCUACGGGUCUUAUCGACCCGGGAGACAGUGUCAGGUGGGCAGUUUGACUGGGGCGGUCGCCUCCUAAAGUGUAACGGAGGCGCCCAAAGGUUCCCUCAGAAUGGUUGGAAAUCAUUCGUAGAGUGCAAAG
rnacentral:rRNA from 1 species